rnacentral:rRNA from 1 species
CAACUUGAGAGUUUGAUCCUGGCUCAGGACGAACGCUGGCGGCAGGCUUAACACAUGCAAGUCGAGCGCCCUCUUCGGAGGGAGCGGCAGACGGGUGAGUAACGCGUGGGAACGUGCCCUUCGGUACGGAAUAGCCCUGGGAAACUGGGUGUAAUACCGUAUACGACCUUCGGGUGAAAGAUUUAUCGCCGAGGGAUCGGCCCGCGUUAGAUUAGCUA